rnacentral:rRNA from 1 species
GGUCAAGUUAUUAAGGGUGCAGGGCGGAUGCCUUGGCACUAGGAGCCGAUGAAGGACGUGAUAAGCUGCGAUAAGCUUCGGGGAGUUGCACGUAAACUUUGAUCCGAAGAUUUCCGAAUGAGGAAACUCACUUAGAGUAAUGUCUAAGUAUCAUUAAGUGAAUACAUAGCUUAAUGAGGGGAACUCAGGGAACUGAAACAUCUAAGUACCUGAAGGAAGAGAAAGAAAUUCGAUUCCGUAAGUAGCGGCGAGCGAACGCGGAUUAGCCCAAACCAAUAAAGUUUUCUUUAUUGGGGUUGCGGACAUAUCAUAACGAAGAGGUAUCGUAAUUGAAGAGGUUUGGAAAGACCCACCACAGAAGGUAAUAGUCCUGUAUGUUAAACGAGAAGACUUUAGAUAUGAUCCAGAGUACCACGGGACACGUGAAACCCUGUGGGAAGCAGGAGGGACCACCCUCCAAGGCUAAAUACUACCUAGUGACCGAUAGCGUAUAGUACCGUGAGGGAAAGGUGAAAAGAACCCCGGGAGGGGAGUGAAAUAGAACCUGAAACCCUGCACUUACAAGCUGUGGAAGCACAUUUCUUGUGUGACCGCGUACUUUUUGUAGAACGGGCCAACGAGUUACGUUAAGUAGCAAGGUUAAGCACUUAAGGUGUGGAGCCGUAGCGAAAGCGAGUUUUAACUGAGCGUUCAGUUACUUGACGUAGACCCGAAACCGGGCGACCUACCCAUGAGCAGGAUGAAGCGAAAGUAAAAUUUCGUGGAGGUCCGAACCCACGAGCGUUGAAAAGCUCGGGGAUGACUUGUGGGUAGCGGUGAAAUUCCAAUCGAGCCCGGAGAUAGCUGGUUCUCCCCGAAAUAGCUUUAGGGCUAGCCUCAAGGUGAGAGAUACGGAGGUAGAGCACUGAAUGUCCUAGGGGGUAUUGCACCUACCGAAGACUAUCAAACUCCGAAUGCCGUCAUCUUAUACUUGGGAGUCAGACUGUGGGUGAUAAGAUUCAUAGUCGAAAGGGCAACAGCCCAGAUCGUCAGCUAAGGUCCCUAAAUGUAAGUUAAGUGGUAAAGGAUGUGGGAUUGCACAGACAACCAGGAUGUUGGCUUAGAAGCAGCCACUCAUUCAAAGAGUGCGUAAUAGCUCACUGGUCGAGUGAUCCUGCGCCGAAGAUUUCCGGGGCUAAAACUUACUACCGAAGCUACGGCAUCAGUAAUGAUGGGUAGGGGAGCUUCCCAUACGGGUUGAAGCAUGACCGUAAGGACAUGUGGACAGUAUGGGAGUGAGAAUGUUGGCAUGAGUAGCGAGAUGUGGGUGAGAAUCCCACAGGCCGUAAACCCAAGGUUUCCAGGGGAAGGUUCGUCCGCCCUGGGUUAGUCGGGACCUAAGCUGAGGCCGAAAGGCGUAGGUGAUGGACAACAGGUUGAUAUUCCUGUACUACCGAUAACCGUUUGAGAGAGGGGAUGACACAGUAGGAUAAGCUAAGCACACUGUUGGUUAUGUGUGCCCAAGCAUUGAGGCAGUCAAAGUAGGCAAAUCCGCUUUGAUAAUGCUGGGAUGUGAUGGGGAGCGAAAUUUAGUAGCGAAGUAGCUGAUUUCACACUGUCAAGAAAAGUCUCUAUCGAGGUUAAAGGUACCCGUACCGCAAACCGACACAGGUGGGUGAGGAGAGUAUCCUAAGGCCAGCGAGAGAACUGUUGUUAAGGAACUCGGCAAAAUGACCCCGUAACUUAGGGAUAAGGGGUGCCACCAUCAGGUGGCCGCAGAGAAUAGGCCCAAGCGACUGUUUACCAAAAACAUAGGUUUCUGCUAAGUCGCAAGACGAUGUAUAGGAGCUGACGCCUGCCCGGUGCUGGAAGGUUAAGGGGAUCUGUUAGAG